rnacentral:rRNA from 1 species
GGAUGCAAUCAUACCAGCACUAAAGCACCGGAUCCCAUCAGAACUCCGAAGUUAAGCGUGCUUGGGCGAGAGUAGUACUAUGAUGGGUGACCUCCUGGGAAGUCCUCGUGUUGCAUUCC